rnacentral:rRNA from 1 species
GCUGAGUAUUAGGCAAAUCCGGUACUCGUUAAGGCUGAGCUGUGAUGGGGAGAAGACAUUGAGUCUUCGAGUCGUUGAUUUCACACUGCCGAGAAAAGCCUCUAGAUAGAAAAUAGGUGCCCGUACCGCAAACCGACACAGGUAGUCAAGAUGAGAAUUCUAAGGUGAGCGAGCGAACUCUCGUUAAGGAACUCGGCAAAAUGACCCCGUAACUUCGGGAGAAGGGGUGCUCUUUAGGGUUAACGCCCAGAAGAGCCGCAGUGAAUAGGCCCAAGCGACUGUUUAUCAAAAACACAGGUCUCUGCUAAACCGUAAGGUGAUGUAUAGGGGCUGACGCCUGCCCGGUGCUGGAAGGUUAAGAGGAGUGGUUAGCUUCUGCGAAGCUACGAAUCGAAGCCCCAGUAAACGGCGGCCGUAACUAUAACGGUCCUAAGGUAGCGAAAUUCCUUGUCGGGUAAGUUCCGACCCGCACGAAAGGCGUAACGAUUUGGGCACUGUCUCAACGAGAGACUCGGUGAAAUCAUAGUACCUGUGAAGAUGCAGGUUACCCGCGACAGGACGGAAAGACCCCGUGGAGCUUUACUGUAGCCUGAUAUUGAAAUUCGGCACAGCUUGUACAGGAUAGG